rnacentral:rRNA from 1 species
GAUGAACGCUGGCGGCGUGCCUAAUACAUGCAAGUCGAGCGAACGGACGAGAAGCUUGCUUUUCUGAUGUUAGCGGCGGACGGGUGAGUAACACGUGGAUAACCUACCUAUAAGACUGGGAUAACUUCGGGAAACCGGAGCUAAUACCGGAUAAUAUUUUGAACCGCAUGGUUCAAAAGUGAAAGACGGUCUUGCUGUCACUUAUAGAUGGAUCCGCGCUGCAUUAGCUAGUUGGUAAGGUAACGGCUUACCAAGGCAACGAUGCAUAGCCGACCUGAGAGGGUGGUCGGCCGCACUGGAACGGAGACACGGUCCAGAGUCCUACGGGAGGCAGCAGUAGGGAAUCUUCCGCAAUGGGCGGAAGCCUGUCGGAGCAACGCCGCGUGAGUGAUGAAGGUCUCCGGAUCGUGAAACUCUGUUAUUGGGGAAGAACAUAUGUGUAAGUAGCUGUGCACAUCUUGACGGUACCUGAUCAGAAAGCCACGGCUAACUACGUGC